GAUCCUGUCAGCUACUCUGAUUUCAAGAUGGUGAAUGACCAUGCCAUUCACAGAGGACGGAGUUCCCUUCCGGCACGGACCUUGUCAACCAGGCUCCUGAGACAGCAGAGCAGACAGGUAGAGAGGAUUGGACCUCUGGUGUCCUCUAAGAUUUGGUCUGAUAUUCCAGGAUGUCUGCUAUGCCAGAGCACUCUCUGCACAUCCGUUCCUCUAUCCUGUCCUCUUUCAUGUAGAUGAGAAUGUAAGUAUCCUCUAAUGUCUUUUCAGGUAAGACAAAGCUUUUGACUCUGACUUGCAAUAGCAAACGCUUUUUUCUUCUUUUUUUCUUUUUUCUUUCUUUUUUUUUUUUCUUUUUUUUUGCAGCUGAGUAUGGUGGCUCAUGCCUGUACUCUCAGAAGUUAAGAGGCUGUGGCAAAUGGAUCGUGAGAGUAAAGCCAGCCCAUGGACACCAGGGAAUGUAGACCAGUAUUAGAGGGUUUGUCUCCGAUGCAUGGGUCUUAGGUUUGAAAAAUAAACCAAUUCCAGGGCUGGGGUGUGGCCCCCUGGUGGGCAGAACUCGUGCUUAGUGUGUUAUAACAAGCUUCUCAUUUCUGGAGUUAAAU
rnacentral:lncRNA from 1 species